rnacentral:rRNA from 1 species
GGACUACAAGGGUUUCUAAUCCUGUUCGCUCCCCACGCUUUCGCUCCUCAGCGUCAGCACAGGCCCAGAGAACCGCCUUCGCCACCGGUGUUCCUCCCGAUAUCUGCGCAUUUCACCGCUACACCGGGAAUUCCAUUCUCCCCUGCCUGCCUCUAGCCAGCCCGUAUCCACUGCACGCCCGGGGUUGAGCCCCGGGAUUUCACAGCAGACGCGACAAGCCGCCUACGAGCUCUUUACGCCCAAUAAUUCCGGACAACGCUCGCGCCCUACGUGUUACCGCGGCGGCUGGCAC